CCGCAAGGCUCAGAGGUCUUUGCUGCAACAGACCUGCUACGGCUGGUCUGCCACGCAAGUCCGCGCGGCAGCGAGUCCAGUUCAAACACGGAUCCAAGUGACGAAAGAGAUUCCGACUAAACGUCAGGAAGAACACAGUGAAAAACAACAGGUUUCCUGGGAGGGCGAUAUAGCCUCGGGAGGUUUUUAAGCAAAGGUUGGGUGGCCACGUGUCGUGCGUGAUCUCGUUGAGAUUCCUGCAUUGCAGGGGGUCAGUCUAGACGACCCUCGGACCCCUGUACAGUUCUAUGCUUCUACGGUGCGCACUACUUCGCGGUGAACGCGCUUCGGGCUGCGUCGGGAAGGCUCCCCCCGCACGCGUCCCUAAUGCAAUGCGGAGAAAGAGGCCAUGCGGACCGAGCAGCUCCACCCCCUCCCUCCAGCCCGAUUCCCGGAUCUGGCAGCCAAUGAGAGCGGAGGCGAUUGAAUUUGGGCAAGCUAAGAGGAUCCCCAGCAUGCAUUGCAGCCCCAGCCAUGGAGGCGGAGGAGGAGGAGGAGGAGUACUUUCGGCGCUUAGAUCUCCGGCGGGCUUGGCCGGGUGUGUAUGUUGGCAAAGGGGGGAAUCCAUCCCCAUCCUUGCGCGGGGGACUUGCCACGGAUCGGGUGAUGUGCUGGGCGGGCGCACAGUUGGGAAUGGUGGGGGCCCGGGGCGCCUCCCAGGAAUCCUGCACCGGAGCCUUGUUAGGCUAACUUUAAGCCCCCUUAAUUUAGCGGAUCGGGUAGGUAAGGUUCCCACCACCGAUAUGGAUCUGCGAGGUUGCUGGGAAAGCUCAAAUGCCGAGCGCCACUGCGCAGACCUGCCUCGGUAACCUGCGCCUUGCGGGUGUGCGCUUGCCUAUUCCGCCCUGCCUAGCUCGGUGGGGAGAGCACGUGCUUUUUUGUGAAGCACGCGAAAGGUCCCAGGUAAGGGCAGCUCUCCAGGAAAGGGCUAGGAAAGGUUCCUGUUCUGCAACCUUGGAGAGUUUCAGACAGUUAAGGGUAAGACCAGCGUUCCCCAACCACGUGUUCUCCGGAUGCUGUCGGAUUGCAUCUGGCUGCCUGGAGAAGAUUGAGAGGAGAGAUGAUCUAGCCAUCUUCAAAUACCUAUAGGGCUGCCACGUGGAAGAUGGAGGAGGAUUGUUUUCUCCUGCUCAGGAAGGUAGGACCCAAACCAGUGGAUUCAAAUGACAGUAAGAGCUGUUUGACAGUGGAACAGACUCCCUCAGGAGGUGGUGGGCUCUCCUCCCUUGGAGGUUCAUAAGCAGGGGUUUGGUGGCCAUCUUGUUAGGGAUACGUUAUCUCAGAUUCCUGCAUCGCAGGGGGUUGGACUAGAUGAAACACAGGGUCCCUUUCGAGUAUACGAUGCUGUGAUCUCCCAGGUUGGGAAAAGCUGGUGUAGACCACAUCGUCUGGCUCAAAAGAGCUUCGGACUUCUUGACAUUCCAAGUUGCAUCAUUUUCUGGAAAGAUGUAUUGUAUUUUGAAUCUCCCAGAUGAAGAGAAUUGUAGAUCCGGGAACAACUGCCUUAAACGCCUUCUCUGAGCACCCCUUCAGCUUUGAACUUUAUGUACAAAUGAGUGGAUGUGGAUGGUUUUGGAUGUUAAAACAUCCCUUCGUGGGAUGCACCCAUACCUCAGGUGCUGGCAGUGUCAAAAAUGGCAAAAAUGACAUGUUGGCAAAAAUGACAUGUUGCAAGAAAUUUCAAGUUGGAGGAAUGCAAAUCCCAGAAAAUGUGCAGAAGAGGGCAUGUUCCAUCUGUGCUGCCGUCUUGCAAGAUCCACUUUCAACAACCACCAUCCCACACAACGGGGUUUGCACUCACAUGUUAGCAUUACCUUCCCACAGGGUGAAUUUGAUUGAAAUCAAAUUGAUUUAAAUGAUUAAUCGUGAUUUAAAUCCCUAGUCAGUAAGACUGGACUUAACUCUUUUCUUUUUAACAGAAAUUCUCAUUCUUGCUGGUAUAAUCUUAAUAUUUACAACCAGAUGAAGGUUUCAUUUUUGGAAUAAAAAAAUUUCACAGUAGUUUUUUACAGUUAUAUAAAAAAUUUCUGGUUUGGUUAUACCGUACUAUUAGAAAUCUAUAGACAGAUAACUUGUUAAACCUCACAAUAAUUUCGUAAUUGACUGUUUAUAUUUGGACAACUUUUCUGCUGUACUUUAUUGGAAGGAGAAAAAUAAUCAUUUCCUUAAUAAUUUAUUUAACUAAAACAAUAACAUUAUAGCAUAUGUAUCCAUGUUUGUUAACUGAUGUGAUUAAACAAUUAAAAAAAACACACAGCUUAGACUUGAGUUUUAGCAUGCAUGGAAAACUUAAAACAAAUCCUUAUUUCCUGAUUAAUACCCUUUGGACUAUAAUGUAACUUAAAUAGAAAGAUUUUUUCCUCCAAAAGCAUAUUAUUUUAAAAAUCCAUUUUAAAUUUUAAAAAAUCAUUGAUUUUUAUCCACCCUGCCUUCCGAAUUAAAAGUGUAUUUUUGAGCAUGUAUUUUCUCUCAACAUAAGCACAUUUCUCAACGUAUUUUCUCCAGAUAUAUAAUCUGAUAACAUUUAUUUCAGUUGAGAAUGGCAUCAAAAUCCUGUGGAUAGCUAAAGUCCAAUCCGGUCAUGAAUCAAGGAGGUGUGGAACUGGUUAGUACAUAUCAGAAUCCCUCCUUUGCUGCAUCAUUUGUGGAAAGACCUGUGGAAAGCUGUAUUAGCUGAAUUCAUCUAUGUACCUUUGCAAACUAUCCUCAAUAAAGUUGCUUUGUUCAUCUAGCAAUACAUAAUUGUGUUUUUAUUGAGGGUUUCUAGCAAUCUCUUCUCCUUUGGCCCUUUCCCUUGGAUAACGUCAGUAAAUAGCUGAAGCUGUUAUAGGAAACCAAUAAUUUUUGAAACCUAUGAGAGUGUUACUAAAUUUUGAAGGCAACUGGAUUUCAGCCAAUUUAUAUAUCUAGAGCAUUUUUAUUCUGCUUUACAACCAGAAAGGCUACCAGAGUGACUUGCAUAAAGUCAAUCCGAGACAGUCCCUUUAUACAGGCAUACAGACCAAAAGACACAACACACAAGGAAAAGGGGAUGGGGAAACAAACUUCCGACACCCAAGUCUCCAAUAUCUCAGAAGGAGCACAAUACAGGUAAAACUCAGAAAAUUAGAAUAUCGUCGAAAAGCAUUUAUU